UUACCAAGAAAAGGAUUACGGUAAACCACCUAGAGAAGUUGAAGUCUUUGGCCGAAGAUGAUUACCAGCAGUCCUUCGGCAACACUACCUGUCUAUUCUCUUCAUCUAAUUGUCCUUUUCUUAAUUUUCAUUGUUGCUGGAUUUCGGAGAACCCAUGACCGGCAAGCUUAGUUAUCUAUGACCACCAUUAGUUCUCUGUUCAAAACUCUAGCCACUAGUGGAUUUCCAUGGUUGUGUUGUUUCUCCAUUGUUGUACUUAGCUGGGAAAUAACUUUGGUAGCCUUUGGUAUUUUUUGACCAAUUGGGUUUCUAUUUUGUAUUGCUUGGGAUGUGUUUUUCUCACCUAUUUAUAUGCUCUAGUGUGUAGACUUGACCAUGAGCCCAAGAACUAUUAGAAAUCCCGCCUCACAUAUCAGAACGUCAAUUUCCAGGAGUUUGUGGAUGCUCGGGAAUUUUUUAUGAGCUUCCUCUAUUUCAUUAUUUCCAUGCCAUUAAGGUUCCUCUCUUCCUCUUUUAAUUUGAGUAUGCAAAGUGUUUGUUUGUACUCUAUGAUUGUGUUGUCUUUAGGCUAUUCUUCUUAGCAUUUGAGUUUUGAUCUAAAGUAUGUCGAUAUUCUGUUUAUCUCCAAAUGUGUGAUAGAACAUUAAUACACUUAGCUAUGAACUUUCUUUGUAACCAAACUGGAGAAGAAUCCUUCCUUCACUAUAUUUCAGGUGAAAGUCCAACCGAGAGAUUUACUUUUGGAUGUAAAUGUGCCUUUGCUCUGAUAGUUAACUUGCCAAGUUAUGAAUUUUCGAAGUUACUUUAAGUUGAGAUCUUAGAAAAUAUAAGUGAUGCUCUUCGUCAAGCCUCAAUUGCAUGUGUUUACAAUUAUUUUAUCUUACUAGGCUACAAACUGAGAAAUCUCACUAUGAUCAUGGAUGUAUGUCAAAUGACAGUCAACAUCAAAUUAUUGCAAUAAUGCCAUGAACUUAUGUGCUUUCUGUGUUAAGUGACCCACUUUAGUACCCGUGAUUUUGGAUUUUCUCAUGCAUCUCUAUUACUGUAUUUCCUAUGUCGACCAUGCAUAGAUCAUAGAGGGUGUUUCUUGAUUCAUGUUAUUCUUAUCCCAGUCGUUGUUGUUGCUUUCGGUGCAAUUUCUUUGAUUGGUAAUCGAUGGAGAGAUUAAGAUUUAUGGUGGGUUGUGAGUCAUUAGCUGUUAAAUAAUAUAAAUGAUAUAUAGUACCCAUCUUAUGAAGAAUGGCUUAUUAGUCAUUGGAAAUAUGUUGUUGGACUUCUUAUGCAUUUGCAGAAUUUCCUUGCUCGCCUUUCAAGGGUCAGCCAUCUUAUAUUCUUACUCGAGACAUUGUUCAGUUGCUAAUUGAACUGCAUUUUCUAAGAAUACUAUUUUUCAAUCUACUAACCUGAUAAUAAUGAGCUCUCCGCUUCUAAUAUUUUUUUUCCUUUCAGUUAGCAUAACUUCUUGCUCUAUAAUUUCUCCUUAUAGCUUGAACAGUUUUUGUGUUAGAUAAAUAAUUAUGUAAUUUCCUUUUCUUUCUCUCAUCGUGUAGCAGCAACAACAAAUAUUCAUAAUUAAUUAGAUGAUAGUUCAAGAAAAAUCUUUUCUUCAAAAAUGGCAAGUCCAUUGAAUCUCAACUCAUAUGAGGUCAACACUUUUUAUUUUCAUUAUACAUGCUUUCAAAAGUUAAUAAUUUGUUUGUUAUGUUAUGGUGAUGCAACCUUGUAUUGUUAAAAGGCCUAAAAAAUAAAAGAACUAUGGAUGUAGGGAGGUAAAAAAAAGAUUAUUAUACAUCUUUGUGGUGAUACUGCAAUUUAUUUUGUUCACUGUUGUUUCUCUCGGAAUUAUGUUUCUCCAGGUCAAUUUUUAUUUUCCUAUUUUAUCAUCUAAAUGGUCUCUAAAAAUUUUGGGACAUCACUUAUGCGAUGCUUUUGAAGUGAAAAAUUGUCGAUGUAUUGGAGUUAAAGAACUUGUUAAAUGUGCAUUUCAUUAGACUUUUUAUAUUACACCUAAAUUUACUAAAAUAAGGAAUAUGAAGAUAGAGUCGUCGAGAGGCUCUUUAAAAAGAUAAAAAGAAUCAGCAAGCGCAGUAAGAGAUAUACAAUCAAACAAGGCAUAAAUGAAAAUCAAGCAUCUUAAGCCCACGGUUUAUGUAUGAUGGGCGAUUUAUCUAUGAACAUUCACGGUGUAGAAUGGUUGUUUAUUAUGUGAAGAAAAUUUGCUUAAGCAAGUGAGAAACUGUUACUAUGAUGGUACAUUAAUGUCGCUGGAUCCUAACCUUUUGAGUCUCUCAAAGGAAAGUGCUUGUAAAUUUCCCCAAGUUACUUUGUUAUUUUUGUAUCCCUAGAAACAUUGACGUUGUGGUUUGUUUCGAGAUAGCUUCAGUGAUUGUCAAUUUGACAGAAUUCAAAAUUCUAUGGUAUUGCUUUGAAAUAUGAACCUUUACAAAUAUAUGUGCCCUAUUCUAUUGUUUUCCAACACUUGGUAAGUUUUGAAAUUUUAUAUUUUACUGGUGAUUGAUUGGAUUUUUUUAUUCACUUCAGUUCUCAAGGACAGGCAAAGCUCUUGUGAUGAGACCACUAACUCCAUUAUGCUCCAUGUUCUUGAAAAGAUAAUUCCUUCAUUUUCAAACAGGAUUUGGAGCUUCAACUUACAAGUCAAGCUACAAUUAUGAAGAUUCAAGCAAGUUGAAAAAUUGGUUAUUGUUUUGCUAGGACGGCUAGACAAAACAUUAUAGUAAUUACUAGGGAUUUUAGUCUUUGUGGGAUAAUUAAUGAGUUGUGUAAAUAGUAUUGUGACAUAAUUUUUUGUAAACAGUGGUACUGCUGAGAUGUUAAUUCGUAUUUUAAUUAAUAAUAGUGAUAACUUCU